AUUGAACGCUGGCGGCAGGCUUAACACAUGCAAGUCGAGCGGAGAUGAGGUGCUUGCACCUUAUCUUAGCGGCGGACGGGUGAGUAAUGCUUAGGAAUCUACCUAUUAGUGGGGGACAACAUUCCGAAAGGAAUGCUAAUACCGCAUACGCCCUACGGGAGAAAGCAGGGGAUCUUCGGACCUUGCGCUAAUAGAUGAGCCUAAGUCGGAUUAGCUAGUUGGUGGGGUAAAGGCCUACCAAGGCGACGAUCUGUAGCGGGUCUGAGAGGAUGAUCCGCCACACUGGGAGUGAGACACGGCCCAGACUCCUACGGGAGGCAGCAGUGGGGAAUAUUGGACAAUGGGGGGAACCCUGAUCCAGCCAUGCCGCGUGUGUGAAGAAGGCCUUAUGGUUGUAAAGCACUUUAAGCGAGGAGGAGGCUACUGAGACUAAUACUCUUGGAUAGUGGACGUUACUCGCAGAAUAAGCACCGGCUAACUCUGUGCCAGCCGCCGCAGUAA
rnacentral:rRNA from 1 species